CAAGGCCCUUCACCAUCUUCAUUAACCUCCUUUGGAUGCUCUCUAAUAGCUUAAUAUCUUCUUGUUUAAGUAAGUUUAGGCUCAUUCUUAUAUCCAUGCUUAUGCCAGCAAAGUCAUGAAGAUAUGUGCUUCUCAUUGAGGGGGAAGGUGCUAAAUAUUGUGGUAUUUAUUAUUCCCUUAGGGCAAUUCAUUUUAUCAUCUCAGGCUGAUGAAAGUUUCAUCUCACAGAUGAGCUGUAUACUCUUAAUGAGACUUUCACUAGCCAGACAAAUGAGGAUAUUGGUCACUGUUGACCCUUUAGACUUCUAGGAACCAGGCCACAAAUGCCUUGGACACAGCAAUUAAGAAUUCAACUUGCAAGAGAGAGCAGGUGUGACCUGUAUGACUUGGACCAUCUUGCUGAGAAGAGAUCCUGAAGCAUUUUACAAGCCGAAGAUUUUCAUUCAGAAUCAGACCUCACAAAACAUGAGGCAGAUAAACCUAAGGUGUAGACCACAUUUAUAGAGCGGUUAUUUUGAUAUCACUUUCCAAUGAAUCAUUAGUCUUUUACCUUUUUCUCCCCACAUAGGAAGGGAUAGAACAUCAAUAUCUGAAGGAAGGAGGACAUCUGGGAACCUGGACUUCAGCACAGAUAUUUAACAUAAUAGAGAAUUCUUGUUUUCCAAGAAGCAAAGACAAGAAAAAUUAUCAUGUGACCACUUUGCCUCCAGAUUCAUUUUUUUAAAAAUAGAAAAAAUAGAUACUUUUUUGUAGAACUAUCAAAAAGCAAAGGGUCUGGGUGUCAUAACUGCAUACUGUUUCACCAAUGGUAAAACCUGCUUUGACCCUCCGGUAUAAGAAAAUAGCCCAAACAGCCUGUUUAGUAAACCAGAGAAAGCACAGUGUCUCCAAAGGGCCUGGCCUAAGUGAGUAUCCAGAAUCCCAGCAAGCCAAGAAAUUCGAAGGCAGUCAGACUUGAUUAAAUUAUUUUUUACUACAAAUCUCAUUUCAGAGAAUGAUUAACGGGAGAAGAGACAUAAAUGGCAGUCUUGAUCAAAGGAGCUGCUGUCAGGGUACCAUCUAGAUAAAUUAAGAAAAGAAUGCUCAGGUUUCUGUGAAAGAAGACUAAUGACAUUAAGUCAGGAUGAAAUAGAAAGAAGCAGCAGUGCAGGCUGAAAUAAAAGACUAGCCUGUCCUGACAAGAAGCCCUGAGAAAUUUCCUGAACUAAAAAAGUUACUGGAAUUGGAAAGGAAUGAUUUUCUGUAAGUGCCGGGUCUUGAAGUUAUUCAAGACCCAGUCGUGAAAUUUACUCUUUGGAACCUGUCAAGACAAGUGAAGGAAUCCUCUGGAAGCACCUGAAACAGCAGUUGUUAAUAUCAGCUCUAUACACUGCAGCUGUUCUGCAUCUCGUGUGCUCACUCUACCCAAUGAGGAUCAGCUCCUUCACUUAAAGUCUGAAACAGUCCCAGCUGCAGGCAAGCAAACAGAGGAUAAAAGGAGAGUGUGAAACCAACAGCCAGUAAAUGUUUAUGUAACUCAGGGAAUCUGUUUACAAGAAAGCAGGAAUGGCAAUCUCCCGGAGGAAGCAGUGGCCCUAGCUGAAAUCUUGGGAGGACUUUAAAAGUGAUCUGAAGGUACCUGUGCAAACAGAUGUUUCUCAGAAGGAGAAAAAUAAAAAAUAUGAGUGUUUGCAUUGCAAGUGACAUCUGGCUGACAGGAAGCUGGAGAAAUGGGAUAUGAAGUGAAUGCUGCAGUUACCACAGUAUCAUAUUUAUCAAAAGGCUUAAGGAGCCCAUGUCUUUGCCACCUUAAUCAUCUUCCCAGCCUUUGGAUGAAGCAUCUGAAUCCCCAGCAUUACUUCUGGAGCCCUUUAAAAAGCAGACUUCCUAAAAGCCACUGCUGGAUGAUGGUGACUGAUGCUGAAAGUUGCUCUCAAAUGGGAGAUAAUCUGAUCUGAAGAGUAUUUACAGCCCAGGUAUAAUUUAAACAUCAUCUAAAUAUCAAACAGACCUACUGUUGAGAGCAGCGAUUAAUGAAGAAGGUGUUACCUGUUUGAGCUGUGGAUCUUGGUCCUUUCACCAGUUCAAUCAGUGGUAAACUUUCAUCGGAGCUGGGUU